AGAGUUUGAUCCUGGCUCAGAAUGAACGUUGGCGGCGUGGAUUAGGCAUGCAAGUCGAGCGAGAACCCGCAAGGGGGACAGCGGCGAACGGGGUAGUAAGGCGUAGGUGACGUGCCCUUAGGACCGGAAUAGCCACGGGAAACUGUGGGUAAUGCCGGAUAAUCUCUUUGGAUUUGAACAUCCGAUGAGCAAUGGGUGUGAUUCCGCCUUUGGAGCGGCUUACGUGGUAUUAGCUAGUUGGUGAGGUAAUGGCUCACCAAGGCGACGAUGCCUAGGGGGUGUGAGAGCAUGGCCCCCACCACUGGGACUGAGAUACUGCCCAGACACCUACGGGUGGCUGCAGUCGAGAAUCUUCGGCAAUGGACGAAAGUCUGACCGAGCGACGCCGCGUGCGGGAUGAAGGCCUUCGGGUUGUAAACCGCUGUCAGAGGG
rnacentral:rRNA from 1 species